rnacentral:misc_RNA from 1 species
UUUCCGUAGGUGAACCUGCGGAAGGAUCAUUACAGUAGUCACCCAGGUUGCCACAAGGCCUCCUGGGUAACCUACCACCCUUUGUUUAUUACACUUUGUUGCUUUGGCAAGCCUGCCCUCGGGCUGCUGGCUCCGGCCGGCGAGCGCUUGCCAGAGGACCUAAACUCUGUUUGUCUAUACUGUCUGAGUACUAUAUAAUAGUUAAAACUUUCAACAACGGAUCUCUUGGUUCUG